rfam:Capnocytophaga canimorsus strain CcD38 genome assembly, contig: CCAND38_Contig_41
UAAGGUGGUUAUAGCGAAAGGUCUCACCUCUUACCAUUCCGAACAGAGCAGUUAAACCUUUUAGCGCAGAUGGUACUAC